rnacentral:rRNA from 1 species
ACUUACCAGGUCCAGACAUGUGAAGGAUUGACAGAUUAAUAGCUCUUUCUUGAUUAUAUGGGUGGUGGUGCAUGGCCGUUCUUAGUUGGUGGAGUGAUUUGUCUGGUUAAUUCCGUUAAACGAACGAGACCUCAACCUAUUAAAUAGAUAAAAUAAAAAUGAUUAAAAUGAGUGGAAGAGAGAAGUGAUGAUGUUUUUUUUUAAAUAGAAAUAUUUAAAAGAAAAUAUCCAUUUCUUUUGAAUACUUUUUAUUUUAUUUUAGGGAAAAAAUUAAAAUUAAAAACUUUAAUUUUUUCAUUUUUUUAAACUUCUUAAAGGGACUAUUUUGUAUAAAAUAAGAAAUUAUUUUAUCUUUGCGGAAAGCAAAUUGGAAGUUUGAGGCAAUAACAGGUCUGUGAUGCCCUUAGAUGUUCUGGGCUGCACGCGCGCUACAAUGAUUUUGUCAAAAGUAAUUGGAUCAAUUUUGAUUUUAAAUUUAUUUAAUUUAAAAUUUAUACUUUCCUUUAUUGAAAAAUAUGGGUAAUCUUAUAUU